CAUCCGCACAAAUACUUUGCCAUAUUUUUUGCUCAAUUGUUUGCCAUUGAUCCUUGUUGCGCCCAUUCUUCCGUACGGCAACCCUCUCUUGCCAUCAAACCGCCCGCUCAAUUGAUGAUGCGUGCGUCUUGUUUGCUGCAUAAAACUUGCUCAAUGCUUACACGCCCUUAAAGGCAACAGCAUCAGCAGCAAAUAUAACAACAACAACGACAACAUAGAGAGUUAUAACAACAACAACAACAACAACAACGGGCACAACGAGAUUCCCUCAGGCUGGUUUUAUUACAAAGGCCGUAAAAAGCACCCAAAGAAAAAGAAAAAAAACAAAAACCAAAAAAUAAGAAAGCAGAAACAAAAAGCGGAGUAAAUGCCACUGAAAGGAUACAACGCGACUUCCUGUGAGCACGGAUGCACAUACAUUUUGAAGCACUGUGGUAACAUGGCAAAAGGAUUUGAAAUUAAACUUUAAGCAGCAUUAGAAUGAGAAUAAUGUUGAAAGCAGCUCAAAAUGUGCAACACGUGUGCGUUUUGUUUUAAAUAUUUAUAAACAAAUAUCACACACACAUGCAUACUCCACAGACGAGAACUGAUGAGUGUGUGUGGAAGAAACGCGCCACUAAAGUUUCUCGGUCUCCUCGUCAAAUUCUAUUAAAAAUUCAUCUUAACGGUUAUGCGUUUGACA